rnacentral:rRNA from 1 species
AUUGAACGCUGGCGGCAGGCCUAACACAUGCAAGUCGAGCGGAUGAAGGGAGCUUGCUCCUGGAUUCAGCGGCGGACGGGUGAGUAAUGCCUAGGAAUCUGCCUGGUAGUGGGGGAUAACGUCCGGAAACGGGCGCUAAUACCGCAUACGUCCUGAGGGAGAAAGUGGGGGAUCUUCGGACCUCACGCUAUCAGAUGAGCCUAGGUCGGAUUAGCUAGUUGGUGGGGUAAAGGCCUACCAAGGCGACGAUCCGUAACUGGUCUGAGAGGAUGAUCAGUCACACUGGAACUGAGACACGGUCCAGACUCCUACGGGAGGCAGAGGUGGGGAAAAUUGGACAAUGGGCGAAAGCCUGAUCCAGCCAUGCCGCGUGUGUGAAGAAGGUCUUCGGAUUGUAAAGCACUUUAAGUUGGGAGGAAGGGCAGUAAGUUAAUACCUUGCUGUUUUGACGUUACCAACAGAAUAAGCGCCGGCUAACUUCGUG